AUUGAACGCUGGCGGCAUGCCUUACACAUGCAAGUCGAACGGUAACAGGUCUUCGGAUGCUGACGAGUGGCGAACGGGUGAGUAAUACAUCGGAACGUGCCUAGUAGUGGGGGAUAACUACUCGAAAGAGUGGCUAAUACCGCAUGAGAUCUACGGAUGAAAGCAGGGGAUCGCAAGACCUUGUGCUACUAGAGCGGCCGAUGGCAGAUUAGGUAGUUGGUGGGAUAAAAGCUUACCAAGCCGCCGAUCUGUAGCUGGUCUGAGAGGACGAUCAGCCACACUGGGCCUAAGACAAGGCCCAGACUCCUACGGGAGGCAGCAGUGGGGAAUUUUGGACAAUGGGCGAAAGCCUGAUCCAGCAAUGCCGCGUGCAGGAUGAAGGCCUUCGGGUUGUAAACUGCUUUUGUACGGAACGAAAAGCCCCGGGUUAAUACCCUGGGGUCAUGACGGUACCGUAAGAAUAAGCACCGGCUAACUACGUGCCAGCCGCCGCGGUAA
rnacentral:rRNA from 1 species